AACUCUCAGCAAUAGAUAUCUCGGCUCUCGCAUCGAUGAAAAAUGUAGCGAAAUACGAUACUUGGUGUGAAUUUCAGAAUCCCGUGAACCAUCAAGUCUUUGACCGCAAGUUGUGCUAGAAGCCAUUAGGCCGAGGGCACGUCUGGUUGGGCGUCA